AGCGAACGCUGGCGGCAGGCCUAACACAUGCAAGUCGAACGAACCUUUCGGGGUUAGUGGCGGACGGGUGAGUAACACGUGGGAACGUGCCUUUAGGUUCGGAAUAACUCAGGGAAACUUGUGCUAAUACCGAAUGUGCCCUUCGGGGGAAAGAUUUAUCGCCUUUAGAGCGGCCCGCGUCUGAUUAGCUAGUUGGUUGAGGUAAUGGCUCACCAAGGCGACGAUCAGUAGCUGGUCUGAGAGGAUGAUCAGCCACAUUGGGACUAAGACACGGCCCAAACUCCUACGGGAGGCAGCAGUGGGGAAUCUUGCGCAAUGGGCGAAAGCCUGACGCAGCCAUGCCGCGUGAAUGAUGAAGGUCUUAGGAUUGUAAAAUUCUUUCACCGGGGACGAUAAUGACGGUACCCGGAGAAGAAGCCCCGGCUAACUUCGUG
rnacentral:rRNA from 1 species